GAUGAACGCUGGCGGCGUGCCUAAUGCAUGCAAGUCGAGCGAACGGACGAGAAGCUUGCUUUUCUGAUGUUAGCGGCGGACGGGUGAGUAACACGUGGAUAACCUACCUAUAAGACUGGGAUAACUUCGGGAAACCGGAGCUAAUACCGGAUAAUAUUUUGAACCGCAUGGUUCAAAAGUGAAAGACGGUCUUGCUGUCACUUAUAGAUGGAUCCGCGCUGCAUUAGCUAGUUGGUAAGGUAACGGCUUACCAAGGCAACGAUGCAUAGCCGACCUGAGAGGGUGAUCGGCCACACGGGAACUGAGACACGGUCCAGACUCCUACGGGAGGCAGCAGUAGGGAAUCUUCCGCAAUGGGCGAAAGCCUGACGGAGCAACGCCGCGUGAGUGAUGAAGGUCUUCGGAUCGUAAAACUCUGUUAUUAGGGAAGAACAUAUGUGUAAGUAACUGUGCACAUCUUGACGGUACCUAAUCAGAAAGCCACGGCUAACUACGUG
rnacentral:rRNA from 1 species